GUUGUGGACAUGGUUUUUCAGCAGCAAGGAGGGACGUGUCUGGCGAAGAUGGGUGAAAGAUGAAGAGUAUCAGCACCCAGAAGUUCUAUGGGACACCUCAGAAUACAGUUAUCAAACCAUCUCUUGCUCUCGUUGCCAAGUCUUUAAACACCAAAAUCUUCAAGGCUCUUUGUUUUCCUGUUCGGCAAAAAGCAAGGUGUACUGUCAGUGUGCCAGUUCUGUUUAAAGACCUUCAUUACUUUGUGGGCAAAAGUGUGGACACUAUCCUAUAUAAUAGUGAGACACACCAGCAAGGAUGGCAUGUGCGUUGUGUUAGUGCAGUGGGAGAUACCAAUAAAGUAGUGCCUUCUGAG
rnacentral:lncRNA from 1 species